rnacentral:lncRNA from 1 species
AAAUCAAAAUCAACCUCCCAAGGCUUUAGAACCAUCGGCCUAUUCCUAUAGGAGUAAGGCCCUGAUUGCAAUACCAAAUCUCUAUCCUCAAUGCUAUUAAACCGAAAAAUACAGUAUCCUUCAGCAUGCAUUAAUACCUGAGGUUUAGUAACAAAGUUCCAUACAUGCAUGACAAAACUUUCCAUACUCCUCUCGCUAGGAUUAUCCCCAAUUACAAAUCCAAUCAGUGCAUU